GAGGCCAAUCUGUAUUGACACUGACUUGCAAAUAGUGCGAGCUGUUACAUGGGUUGGGCGCUCGUCAAUGGAGAUCCACCUGGAAGUAACUCAGUCCACAGAAGGAUGAGAACAUACAUUUCCACCUGCUGCCACUAAACAGUUGCAGGAGUCACGUUACUCUUGAUCCUGAAGGAUGGUGUCACUUUGAUCUCCAUGCCUUAAAUGUGUGUUUAUUCUUUUCAAACCAUAUUUACUCCUGCAUGUUUACUUUACUC